rnacentral:rRNA from 1 species
UUUACACAUGCAAGUCGAGCGAGGCGGAGUAGCAAUACUCCAGUCGAGCGGCGAACGGGUGAGUAACGCGUGGAUGACCUGCCUCGAGGUGGGGGAUAACCCGGGGAAACUCGGGCUAAUACCGCGUGAUAUUGACGAGAUCAAAGGGGGCUCGCAAGAGCUCUCGCCGCGAGAGGGGUCCGCGUCCGAUUAGCUAGUUGGUAGGGUAAUGGCCUACCAAGGCGACGAUCGGUAGCCGGCCUGAGAGGGUGAUCGGCCACACUGGAACUGAGACACGGUCCAGACUCCUACGGGAGGCAGCAGUGGGGAAUUUUGCGCAAUGGGCGGAAGCCUGACGCAGCAACGCCGCGUGGAGGAUGAAGGUCUUUGGAUUGUAAACUCCUGUCAGCAGGGAAAAAGUGACUCGGCCUCAUACGCCGGGAAGUUGAUUGUACCUGCAGAGGAAGCCCCGGCUAACUCUGUGCCAGCAGCCGCGGUAAUACAGAGGGGGCAAGCGUUAUUCGGAAUUAUUGGGCGUAAAGGGCGCGUAGGCGGCCAGGCAAGUGGAAGGUGAAAUCCCCGGGCUCAACUCGGGAACUGCCUUUCAAACUGCUUAGCUUGAGUCCGGGAGAGGUGAGUGGAAUUCCAAGUGUAGCGGUGAAAUGCGUAGAUAUUGGGAGGAACACCAGUGGCGAAGGCGGCUCACUGGACCGGAACUGACGCUGAGGCGCG